rnacentral:rRNA from 1 species
AGUGCACGCUGGCGGUAGGCCUAACACAUGCAAGUCGAACGGCAGCACAGUAAGAGCUUGCUCUUACGGGUGGCGAGUGGCGGACGGGUGAGGAAUACAUCGGAAUCUACUUUUUCGUGGGGGAUAACGUAGGGAAACUUACGCUAAUACCGCAUACGACCUACGGGUGAAAGCAGGGGAUCUUCGGACCUUGCGCGAUUGAAUGAGCCGAUGUCGGAUUAGCUAGUUGGCGGGGUAAAGGCCCACCAAGGCGACGAUCCGUAGCUGGUCUGAGAGGAUGAGCAGCCACACUGGAACUGAGACACGGUCCAGACUCCUACGGGAGGCAGCAGUGGGGAAUAUUGGACAAUGGGCGCAAGCCUGAUCCAGCCAUACCGCGUGGGUGAAGAAGGCCUUCGGGUUGUAAAGCCCUUUUGUUGGGAAAGAAAAGCAGCAGGUUAAUACCCCGCUGUUCUUACGGUACCCAAAGAAUAAGCACCGGCUAACUUCGUG